rnacentral:rRNA from 1 species
UACGCAGGGUGCAAGCGUUACUCGGCAUUACUGGGCGUAAAGCGUGCGUAGGUGGUUCGUUAAGUCUGAUGUGAAAGCCCUGGGCUCAACCUGGGAAUGGCAUUGGAUACUGGCGAUCUAGAGUGCGGUAGAGGGCAGUGGAAUUCCCGGUGUAGCAGUGAAAUGCGUAGAGAUCGGGAGGAACAUCUGUGGCGAAGGCGACUGCCUGGACCAGCACUGACACUGAGGCACGAAAGCGUGGGGAGCAAACAGG